GUGACACACGUCCUCCAACAAGGCCACACCUUCUGAUAGUGCCACGCCCUCUGGGGGGCCAUUUUCUUUCACACCACCUCUAGCAAUGGGAGCUAGUGAAGGUCUUAGCGGGACCGUCACACUACCAUUGUAUUUAGUUAUUGUGUUUUUUCUUGUUUUUGUUUUGUUUUUUGAGACAGGGGCUCUCGUAGCCAAAGUUGACCUUAAACUCACUGUGUAUGAGGAUGACCUUGAAUUCAUGAUCUUGUCUCUACAUCCCAAGUGUUGGGAUUCAAGGCAAGAACUGCAAUGCCUAACUCAGGCGUUUUAUUUGAUUGAUUAAUUGUUAUGCUAUUACUAUUAUUAUUAUCAUUGAACAAAUAAUAACACAGUGGUCCCCUCUCCCUCUUUAUACCUUGGCUAUAGGUAAAUCUACACCUGCAAGCCUUUUCUUCCGAGAGAAAUUUGUACCCUGACCUACUCAACAUGGCAGCGCUCUUCUCCAACGUCACUGAGAAUGGUGGUGGCGAUGAUCACAGUGUUUAGAGGCGGGGGCUGAUAUGGAUGACAGGUUCAGCUGGGAAUGUGCUGUCCUCUUCAGCGGCUCACUCCUAUCGGUCCAGAAUCUGGUUCAAGAGGCACAUUGAGAUGCAGGAGCUGCAGUGAGAAGCCCAGUCAGCCCUUACUGAGAAACUUGAGCUGGGGUUCCUUUUGCUUCACAUACACUGAGAGCUGCAGAGCGGAAGAAAGACGCCCAGGCGUCGUGCUGGCCAGACGGGGAAAAGCAGGUCAUCUGUGAGCUCGGAGAAGGAGCCAGAGAAGCCAGUGCGCCCCAGGAGAAAGGUGUCCUCCAGCCUGCAGCUACCACCCCGAGAGGCACGAGAAAGGUGUCCUUUGGCCUGCAGCUACCACCCCGAGAGGCAUGCAUUUGAACCUCCACAGAUCUGACUCCUG